rnacentral:rRNA from 1 species
CACGUAGGGGACGAGCGUUGUCCGGAUUCAUUGGGCGUAAAGCGCGCGCAGGCGGUUCUUUAAGUCUGAUGUGAAAGCCCACGGCUCAACCGUGGAGGGUCAUUGGAAACUGGGGGACUUGAGUGCAGGAGAGAAGAGUGGAAUUCCACGUGUAGCGGUGAAAUGCGUAGAGAUGUGGAGGAACACCGGUGGCGAAGGCGGCAUCCUGGACCGGCAUUGACGCUGAGGCGCGAAAGCCAGGGGAGCAAACGGG